rnacentral:lncRNA from 1 species
AGAGUGGAUAAGACAAAGAGGAUGAAUGGAAAUGAAACGAAGAUAGGCUGUAGUUAUUUGGGAGAGAGAGAGAGAGAGAGUAGAAACCCAACCCAUGAGGAUCCCACCGCCUUUAAAGACAAAACUUGCCAUACAAUUUUCAUCAUUUUGUCAUGUAUCCUUGGGCAUUAAAGAAGAAGAGAACAAAUGUCGUGAUCAAAACAG